rnacentral:rRNA from 1 species
AUUGAACGCUGGCGGCAGGCCUAACACAUGCAAGUCGAACGCGGGGGGCACGGGAGAGUUAUAUCGGGGAAACUCCCUGAUGGAGGGGGAUAACUAGUGGAAACGAUAGCUAAUAGCACAAACCAGGGGAUGUGCACAUAUGGGAUUCGCUAGUAGGUGGGGUAAAGGCUCACCUAGGCGACGAUCCCUAGCUGGUCUGAGAGGAUGAACAGCCACACUGGAACUGAGACACGGCCCAGACUCCUACGGGAGGCAGCAGUGGGGAAUAUUGCACAAUGGGCGCAAGCCUGAUGCAGCCAUGCCGCGUGUAUGAAGAAGGCCUUAGGGUUGUAAAGUACUUUCAGUGGGGAGGCGUUACCCGCAGAAGAAGCACCGGCUAACUCCGUGCCAGCAGCCGCGGUAAUUC